rnacentral:rRNA from 1 species
AUUGAACGCUGGCGGCAUGCCUUACACAUGCAAGUCGAACGGCAGCACGGGAGCAAUCCUGGUGGCGAGUGGCGAACGGGUGAGUAAUGUAUCGGAACGUACCUUUCAGUGGGGGAGUAACGUAGCGAAGUUACGCUAAUACCGCAUAUUCUGUGAGCAGGAAAGCAGGGGAGUCGCAAGACCUUGCGCUGAUUGAGCGGCCGAUAUCAGAUUAGCUAGUUGGUGAGGUAAAGGCUCACCAAGGCGACGAUCUGUAGCGGGUCUGAGAGGAUGAUCCGCCACACUGGAACUGAGACACGGUCCAGACUCCUACGGGAGGCAGCAGUGGGGAAUAUUGGACAAUGGGCGAAAGCCUGAUCCAGCAAUGCCGCGUGUGUGAAGAAGGCCUGAGGGGUUGUAAAGCACUUUCAAUCGUGAAGAAAAGUUGCAGGCUAAUACCCUGUGACCUUGACGUUAACGAUACAAGAAGCACCGGU